rnacentral:rRNA from 1 species
AGCGCAUCCCGUUUCGCGGGGCGGGGGUUGGGGUUAAUGCCACCAAGUAGUGGUUGCAGGCUUGAGGAGAGCCGCCGAGUGGUGGUUCUAGAGGGAAAAAUCUGCCAAGUUCAAAGGUCAGGCAAGCGAAAGGUUUACCGAGUCGGAAGGUUGGGCGAGUAAAAAAAUUACCAAGUCCAAAAUACUGGCGGUAACCUACCCGGGACUCCGAGUAAGUCGGGGAAGAAGUUGGCGGAUUUUUUCCCAACCAACUCAACUUUUGACCAAUUUACCUGCCCGAGCUCACGGGUAGGGUGCGGUUUAUUUUUGGACUUUGUAGAUUUACUUAAAUCAAUUCACAGGAAGUUACCUGCCGAAUUACCUGGGCUCCCGGGUAGGCUAUAGUUAACUUUUGGACUUCCGACUAUAACCUGGGAUUUUCCCAACCAUAGCUCACGGGUAGGUUAGUUGUGAUUUUUGGACUCGGUGAAAUUUCUACUUUCCUGCCAAGUCUAGUCUACCCGGGAGCCCAGGCAAGUCGGGCAGGUAAAUUCCGCCAACUCGGCAGGGAACUAAUUGCAAAUCAAUUCAAGCAAAUGUGCCAAGUCCACAAAUCAAUCGCAGCCUACCCGGUAGGUAAGCCUGUGUGAUUUCCGUGUAAUUUCCCGUAAAGACCAAAAAGUUAGGUAUUUUGGUACUUAAUUUAUAUAAGUACAAGUUGAUUUUUUUGUUUUUUUAUAUAAAUAAAUUUUGCGGAAAAUAAAAAAUAAGCUAUAAAAGCCUGGUAGCGGAGGCGGGCCCUUAGGGUAGUUGGUGGGUAUAUGAGAGGGAGGGCUGGACACGCGUCGCGUCGCGUAUUUCCGCCGCAGCCAAUACUUUUAGCUUUAGGGUAGGCUGCUUCUUUAGAGGCGUGCUGAAUUAAAUGGUCUCUUGAGUGAGGGGAUUUCUCUGCUGGCAGUUGCCUGUGAUCCGGGAGCCCGUGGCGGUAAAGUCAACUGUAAGAGCUUGUGUGUGUGCCGGGGCCCUGUAAGUCACGACAAGGAACCCUACAGGUCGC